GCUCCGGGAGCACGCGCCUGUCUCUUUAAAUGCCAGGGGCUGCGCUCUCUCCCGGGGCGCCUGGAGCCGGAUCUACAAUCCCCUCCCUCCCGUUCCGGCGCUUGUUGCUCGCCGAGUCCGAGCUGGAGCUGCCGCCGCCGGGUAGCGAAGCUGCCUCCUGCACCCCGUUCUCGCACCCCACCUCCCCCGAGGGCAGGUUGAGGGGGAGCAGCAGCCCCAGCAGGAGGUAGGGGGUGCUGUGUGAACAGGCAUUGCCCCCCACCGUCAACUCUUGAGGCUGAGGCGCUACGUAACCGCGGGGGCAAGACAUGCGUGGCCGCCCCCUGCCCAGCCUCGUUGCCGCCCGCGCGGGGAGAGGAGGGACUGCGGAUCUCACACCGGCAAACUCGCCCUAGAAGUCUCAAGGGGCGGCGGGGGUGUCCCUCGCAAUUCCCCACGGCCUCCACCUCCCGGCGGCUGAGUUUUCGCAGGUGGUAUCAGCCCCUGUCCGGGGUCCCGCGCCAAUGACCCGAGUAGUGGUUUCACUUUCUCCCCUCUCGGCGGUGUGACCGCGUGUCCGCAGCGUGAUGGGUAACCAGGUGGAGAAACUGACCCACCUAAGUUACAAGGAAGUUCCCACAGCCGACCCUACCGGCGUGGACCGGGACGACGGGCCUCGCAUCGGCGUCUCCUACAUCUUCUCCAACGACGACGAGGACGUGGAGGCCCCGCCGCCCCAGGGACCCGAUGGCGGCGGCGGUUUGCCCGACAGCGGGGACGGGCCGCCGCUGCCCGCGCCGCAGCUCUACGACCCGCGGCUGCACGAGGUGGAGUGCUCCGUGUUCUACCGCGAUGAGUGCAUCUACCAGAAAAGCUUCGCGCCGGGCUCCGCGGCGCUGAGCACCUACACGCCCGAGAACCUGCUCAACAAGUGCAGGCCUGGCGACCUGGUGGAGUUUGUGUCGCAGGCGCAGUACCCGCACUGGGCUGUAUAUGUGGGCAACUUCCAAGUGGUGCACUUGCACCGGCUGGAGGUGAGCAACAGCUUCCUGACGGACGCGAGUCAGGGCCGACGUGGCCGCGUGGUGAACGAUCUGUAUCGCUACAAGCCGCUGAGCCCCGGCACCGUGGUGCGUAACGCGCUGGCCCACGUGGGCGCCAAGGAGCGCGAGCUGAGUUGGCGCAACUCCGAGAGCUUCGCCGCCUGGUGCCGCUAUGGCAAGCGCGAGUUCAAGAUCGGCGGCGAGCUGCGCAUCGGCAAGCAGCCUUAUCGGCUGCAGAUCCAGCUCUCCGCACAGCGCAGCCACACGCUCGAGUUCCAGAGCCUGGAGGACCUGAUCAUGGAGAAGCGGCGCAAUGACCAGAUCGGGCGUGCAGCUGUGCUGCAGGAGCUCGCCACGCACCUGCACCCCGCCGAGCCGGACGAGGGCGGCAGCGACGCCGCGCGGACUACGCCGCCUCCCGGGCGCCACCCUGCGGCCGGCCGAGAGGAGGAGGGCCGAGAGUCGGUGGUGCACUGACACGGAAGCCGAGGUGCAGAGCUGUGAAAGUGCGCUCUUUGCGGCAGCCGCUGCCCCCUCCCUCUGACUCCCUCCUCCACCACCUUCUGGGCCCCAUCUGGGUUCCUGGGCCAUUUGGAAAAAAGGAAUGUUGGCGAAGUGUGCUUCCAGCUGUGACUUGAGCUUGUUAUCCUGGACGGAGGAGGAAGAGGGAGCAGCACACUGAGUCCCAUCUGACGAGGAAUGAGAUGGAUUGCUAAACCAGAAGAGAAUGUGGCUUCCAGUUCUCCAGGCGAGAGACUCAAACCAGAAGACAAAGAACUUUGGAAUUGAACUGUGGCUUUUUCUCAGGGGAAGCAGCAUCAAGGCCAAGCCGAGAAGGUGCUUAUCAGUCAGGAUCCUGGGAGAAGACCUCACCUUCAGAUUUGGGAACUGAGUCUAAGAGAGUCACCAGCUUGCCCAAUGGCACACUUCGAGUAAGCGGUAUGGCCAGGGUUUGAACCUGGUGAGGCAGACUCCACCUCCCAUGAUGAUUGAGGCCACACCACAAGGGAACUCGCCAUAAACUUCAUAGGGAGACGAUGGCUUUGCUACAGGGACUGUCCCCUGCACCUACUCCCUUGUCAUUUGAAUAGACAAUAUCUGCAUCACUGGGAUCAACCACCUCUACUGCUUAUCUUCACACCAGCUGGCCAGAGUGAGAGCUUCCAUGGAUCCUGGAUCGCUGCCUAAGGAAAGUUACUCCAUGGAUUCAACUGACCAACAGUUGUGAAGAGGGAAAAGGAAAGGGAGGACCAGAGGGGCAGUGCCUCACAUUGUCCAUUCCAACAAAGGCAAAUUCUGUGUGAGAAAAACAAGGUCUUUCCUCAUUUCAUUCCACAACUCACUGAUGUGCAUACAUAGGCUGGAGAUAAUGAGAUGCCGUUUCAGCUUCCAGGAAGCGGAGGAAAAGCAAAGUUAAUGACAGCUCCAGGUACCAUUGAUAUACAAUCUUAUGAAGGUUUCACAUGAGCAACAUUGUGGUUACUACAUUCACCUAUGUUAUCAAGUCGCCCUCCACACCCACUGCAGUCACUGUCCAUCCAUGCAAUAAUCACAGACACUGUUGAUUGACCAGCCUAACACCUAUUGCCAACUCCUUUUUCUCUUGAUCUCAUCCUAUAUGGAAGUUAGAAGACCUAAAUAUGUUAUCUGCCAGGCUUCUUUGCAUCUAGAGUGGACACAUGGAUAUCACACUGCUGCAGUGUGGCUGAAAUCCUUCCCUCCCAGUUCUUCUUCCUUUGAGUACAGGGAGAGAAAAUACAGAAAGAGCUUAAGUCUUUGGUGUCAUUGAACCACUGUACCAGUGCUGGUUUUCAAACUCCAGAUGGCUUGUUAUGUUGGGAAAAUAUUUAUAUCAAUUAAGAGACUAUUACUUGGGUUUUUAGAAAUUUCAACCAAAAAUAUUCCUC